AGAGUUUGAUCCUGGCUCAGAACGAACGCUGGCGGCAGGCCUAACACAUGCAAGUCGAGCGCACUCUUCGGAGUGAGCGGCGGACGGGUUAGUAACGCGUGGGAACGUGCCCAGAUCUAAGGAAUAGCCACUGGAAACGGUGAGUAAUACCUUAUACGCCCUUCGGGGGAAAGAUUUAUCGGAUUUGGAUCGGCCCGCGUUAGAUUAGGUAGUUGGUGGGGUAAUGGCCUACCAAGCCUACGAUCUAUAGCUGGUUUUAGAGGAUGAUCAGCAACACUGGGACUGAGACACGGCCCAGACUCCUACGGGAGGCAGCAGUGGGGAAUCUUGGACAAUGGGCGCAAGCCUGAUCCAGCCAUGCCGCGUGAGCGAUGAAGGCCCUAGGGUCGUAAAGCUCUUUCGCCAGGGAUGAUAAUGACAGUACCUGGUAAAGAAACCCCGGCUAACUCCGUGCCAGCAGCCGCGGUAAUAGGGAGGGGGUUAGCGUUGUUCGGAAUUACUGGGCGUAAAGCGCGCGUAGGCGGACUGGAAAGUUGGGGGUGAAAUCCCGGGGCUCAACCCCGGAACUGCCUCCAAAACUCCCAGUCUUGAGUUCGAGAGAGGUGAGUGGAAUUCCGAGUGUA
rnacentral:rRNA from 1 species